CGGCGGACGGGUGAGUAACGCGUGGGUAACCUGCCUCAUACAGGGGGAUAACAGUUAGAAAUGGCUGCUAAUACCGCAUAAGACCACAGUACUGCAUGGUACAGUGGUAAAAACUCCGGCGGUAUGAGAUGGACCCGCGUCUGAUUAGGUAGUUGGUGAGGUAACGGCCCACCAAGCCGACGAUCAGUAGCCGACCUGAGAGGGUGACCGGCCACAUUGGGACUGAGACACGGCCCAGACUCCUACGGGAGGCAGCAUG
rnacentral:rRNA from 1 species